GUCAUCAGAAUGCCCAUCAUGUACCGCAUCGGCUGUCUGAGAGACGGUGGGUCCUGGAAGGGCAACGGAGGUCCUGGAAGGGCAAUGGAGGUCCUGGAAGGGCAACGGAGGUCCUGGAAGGGCAAUGGAGGUCCUGGAAGGGCAACGGAGGUCCUGGAAGGGCAACGGAGGUCCUUGAAGGGCAGUGGAGGUCCUGGAAGGGCAACGGAGGUCCUGGAAGGGCAGUGGAGGUCCUGGAAGGGCAACGGAGGUCCUGGAAGGGCCGUGGAGGUCCUGGAAGGGCAACGGAGGUCCUGGAAGGGCAGUGGAGGUCCUGGAAGGGCAAUGGAGGUCCUGGAAGGGCAACGGAGGUCCUGGAAGGGCAGUGGAGGUCCUGGAAGGGCAACGGAGGUCCUUGAAGGGCAGUGGAGGUCCUGGAAGGGCAGUGGAGGUCCUGGAAGGGCAGUGGAGGUCCUUGAAGGGCAACGGAGGUCCUGGAAGGGCAGUGGAGGUCACUUGAAGGGCAGUGGAGGUCCUGGAAGGGCAAUGGAGGUCCUGGAAGGGCAGUGGAGGUCCUUGAAGGGCAAUGGAGGUCCUGGAAGGGCAGUGGAGGUCCUUGAAGGGCAGUGGAGGUCCUUGAAGGGCAGUGGAGGUCCUGGAAGGGCAACGGAGGUCCUGGAAGGGCAGUGGAGGUCCUUGAAGGGCAACGGAGGUCCUGGAAGGGCAACGGAGGUCCUUGAAGGGCAGUGGAGGUCCUUGAAGGGCAAUGGAGGUCCUGGAAGGGCAAUGGAGGUCCUGGAAGGGCAACGGAGGUCCUUGAAGGGCAAUGGAGGUCCUGGAAGGGCAGUGGAGGUCCUGGAAGUGCAACGGAGGUCCUGGAAGGGCAGUGGAGGUCCUGGAAGGGCAACGGAGGUCCUGGAAGGGCAAUGGAGGUCCUGGAAGGGCAGUGGAGGUCCUUGAAGGGCAAUGGAGGUCCUGGAGGUCCUUGAAGGGCAACGGAGGUCCUGGAAGGGCAGUGGAGGUCCUGGAAGGGCAACGGAGGUCCUGGAAGGGCAAUGGAGGUCCUGGAAGGGCAGUGGAGGUCCUGGAAGGGCAGUGGAGGUCCUGGAAGGGCAACGGAGGUCCUGGAAGGGCAGUGGAGGUCCUGGAAGGGCAGUGGAGGUCCUGGAAGGGCAAUGGAGGUCCUGGAAGGGCAGUGGAGGUCCUUGAAGGGCAAUGGAGGUCCUGGAAGGGCAGUGGAGGUCCUUGAAGGGCAGUGGAGGUCCUUGAAGGGCAGUGGAGGUCCUGGAAGGGCAACGGAGGUCCUGGAAGGGCAGUGGAGGUCCUUGAAGGGCAACGGAGGUCCUGGAAGGGCAACGGAGGUCCUGGAAGGGCAGUGGAGGUCCUGGAAGGGCAACGGAGGUCCUGGAAGGGCAGUGGAGG
ensembl:lncRNA